GACGAACGCUGGCGGCGUGCUUAACACAUGCAAGUCGAACGGAAAGGCCCUGCUUUUGUGGGGUGCUCGAGUGGCGAACGGGUGAGUAACACGUGAGUAACCUGCCCUUGACUUUGGGAUAACUUCAGGAAACUGGGGCUAAUACCGGAUAGGAGCUCCUGCUGCAUGGUGGGGGUUGGAAAGUUUCGGCGGUUGGGGAUGGACUCGCGGCUUAUCAGCUUGUUGGUGGGGUAGUGGCUUACCAAGGCUUUGACGGGUAGCCGGCCUGGGAGGGUGACCGGCCACAUUGGGACUGAGGUACGGCCCAGACUGCAACGGGAGGCAGCGGUGGGAAACAUUGCGCAAUGGGCGGAAGCCUGAUACAGCAACGCCGCGUGCGGGAUGACGGCUUUCGGGUUGUAAACCGCUUUCGCCUGUGACGAAGCGUGAGUGACGGUAAUGAGUAAGGAAGCACCGGCUAACUACGUG
rnacentral:rRNA from 1 species